rnacentral:tmRNA from 126 species
GGGGCUGAUUCUGGAUUCGACGGGAUUUGCGAAACCCAAGGUGCAUGCCGAGGGGCGGUUGGCCUCGUAAAAAGCCGCAAAAAAAUAGUCGCAAACGACGAAAACUACGCUUUAGCAGCUUAAUAACCUGCUUAGAGCCCUCUCUCCCUAGCCUCCGCUCUUAGGACGGGGAUCAAGAGAGGUCAAACCCAAAAGAGAUCGCGCGGAUGCCCUGCCUGGGGUUGAAGCGUUAAAACGAAUCAGGCUAGUCUGGUAGUGGCGUGUCCGUCCGCAGGUGCCAGGCGAAUGUAAAGACAGACUAAGCAUGUAGUACCGAGGAUGUAGGAAUUUCGGACGCGGGUUCAACUCCCGCCAGCUCCACCA